rnacentral:rRNA from 1 species
UACAGAGGUCUCAAGCGUUGUUCGGAUUCAUUGGGCGUAAAGGGUGUGUAGGUGGCGCGCUAAGUCGGGUGUGAAAUUUCGGAGCUUAACUCCGAAACUGCAUUCGAUACUGGCGUGCUUGAGGACUGGAGAGGAGACUGGAAUUCAUGGUGUAGCAGUGAAAUGCGUAGAGAUCAUGAGGAAGACCAGUGGCGAAGGCGGGUCUCUGGACAGUUCCUGACACUGAGGCACGAAGGCCAGGGGAGCAAACGGG